AAUAGGGUGGCUGAGAUAUAGGCGAUAAAUUGUAAAUUUAUAUAUGAAGAUAAUCCUUCCUCUAUUA
rnacentral:tRNA from 1 species